rnacentral:rRNA from 1 species
UUAAGCGACUAAGCGUACACGGUGGAUGCCCUGGCAGUCAGAGGCGAUGAAGGACGUGCUAAUCUGCGAAAAGCGUCGGUAAGGUGAUAUGAACCGUUACAGCCGGCGAUGUCCGAAUGGGGAAACCCAGUGCAAUUCGUUGCACUAUCGUUAACUGAAUACAUAGGUUAACGAGGCGAACCGGGGGAACUGAAACAUCUAAGUACCCCGAGGAAAAGAAAUCAACCGAGAUUCCCCCAGUAGCGGCGAGCGAACGGGGAGCAGCCCGGAGUCUGAAUCAGCUUGUGUGUUAGUGGAAGCGUCUGGAAAGUCGCAGGGUACAGGGUGAUACUCCCGUACACUAAAACACACAGGCUGUGAACUCGAAGAGUAGGGCGGGACACGUGGUAUCCUGUCUGAAUAUGGGGGGACCAUCCUCCAAGGCUAAAUACUCCUGACUGACCGAUAGUGAACCAGUACCGUGAGGGAAAGGCGAAAAGAACCCCGGCGAGGGGAGUGAAAAAGAACCUGAAACCGUGUACGUACAAGCAGUAGGAGCCCACUAGUUGGGUGACUGCGUACCUUUUGUAUAAUGGGUCAGCGACUUAUAUUCUGUAGCAAGGUUAACCGUAUAGGGGAGCCGCAGGGAAACCGAGUCUUAACUGGGCGUUAAGUUGCAGGGUAUAGACCCGAAACCCGGUGAUCUAGCCAUGGGCAGGUUGAAGGUUGGGUAACACUAACUGGAGGACCGAACCGACUAAUGUUGAAAAAUUAGCGGAUGACUUGUGGCUGGGGGUGAAAGGCCAAUCAAACCGGGAGAUAGCUGGUUCUCCCCGAAAGCUAUUUAGGUAGCGCCUCGUGAACUCAUCUUCGGGGGUAGAGCACUGUUUCGGCUAGGGGGUCAUCCCGACUUACCAACCCGAUGCAAACUACGAAUACCGAAGAAUGUUAUCACGGGAGACACACGGCGGGUGCUAACGUCCGUCGUGAAGAGGGAAACAACCCAGACCGCCAGCUAAGGUCCCAAAGUCAUGGUUAAGUGGGAAACGAUGUGGGAAGGCCCAGACAGCCAGGAUGUUGGCUUAGAAGCAGCCAUCAUUUAAAGAAAGCGUAAUAGCUCACUGGUCGAGUCGGCCUGCGCGGAAGAUGUAACGGGGCUAAACCAUGCACCGAAGCUGCGGCAGCGACACUAUGUGUUGUUGGGUAGGGGAGCGUUCUGUAAGCCGUUGAAGGUGGCCUGUGAGGGUUGCUGGAGGUAUCAGAAGUGCGAAUGCUGACAUAAGUAACGAUAAUGCGGGUGAAAAACCCGCACGCCGGAAGACCAAGGGUUCCUGUCCAACGUUAAUCGGGGCAGGGUGAGUCGACCCCUAAGGCGAGGCCGAAAGGCGUAGUCGAUGGGAAACAGGUUAAUAUUCCUGUACUUGGUGUUACUGCGAAGGGGGGACGGAGAAGGCUAUGUUGGCCGGGCGACGGUUGUCCCGGUUUAAGCAUGUAGGCGGAUGUUCCAGGUAAAUCCGGAACGUCACUAACGCUGAGGUGUGAUGACGAGGCACUACGGUGCUGAAGUGACAAAUGCCCUGCUUCCAGGAAAAGCCUCUAAGCAUCAGGUAACAUCAAAUCGUACCCCAAACCGACACAGGUGGUCAGGUAGAGAAUACCAAGGCGCUUGAGAGAACUCGGGUGAAGGAACUAGGCAAAAUGGUGCCGUAACUUCGGGAGAAGGCACGCUGAUGGUAAGUGAAGUGACUUGCUCAUGGAGCUGAAAUCAGUCGAAGAUACCAGCUGGCUGCAACUGUUUAUUAAAAACACAGCACUGUGCAAACACGAAAGUGGACGUAUACGGUGUGACGCCUGCCCGGUGCCGGAAGGUUAAUUGAUGGGGUUAUCCUCACGGAGAAGCUCUUGAUCGAAGCCCCGGUAAACGGCGGCCGUAACUAUAACGGUCCUAAGGUAGCGAAAUUCCUUGUCGGGUAAGUUCCGACCUGCACGAAUGGCGUAAUGAUGGCCAGGCUGUCUCCACCCGAGACUCAGUGAAAUUGAACUCGCUGUGAAGAUGCAGUGUACCCGCGGCAAGACGGAAAGACCCCGUGAACCUUUACUAUAGCUUGACACUGAACACUGGUCCUUGAUGUGUAGGAUAGGUGGGAGGCUUUGAAGUGUGGACGCCAGUCUGCAUGGAGCCNNNNNGGGUUGCGGACAGUGUCUGGUGGGUAGUUUGACUGGGGCGGUCUCCUCCUAAAGAGUAACGGAGGAGCACGAAGGUCAGCUAAUCCUGGUCGGACAUCAGGAGGUUAGUGCAAUGGCAUAAGCUGGCUUGACUGCGAGCGUGACGGCGCGAGCAGGUGCGAAAGCAGGUCAUAGUGAUCCGGUGGUUCUGAAUGGAAGGGCCAUCGCUCAACGGAUAAAAGGUACUCCGGGGAUAACAGGCUGAUACCGCCCAAGAGUUCAUAUCGACGGCGGUGUUUGGCACCUCGAUGUCGGCUCAUCACAUCCUGGGGCUGAAGUAGGUCCCAAGGGUAUGGCUGUUCGCCAUUUAAAGUGGUACGCGAGCUGGGUUUAGAACGUCGUGAGACAGUUCGGUCCCUAUCUGCCGUGGGCGCUGGAGAAUUGAGGGGGGCUGCUCCUAGUACGAGAGGACCGGAGUGGACGCAUCACUGGUGUUCGGGUUGUCAUGCCAAUGGCAUUGCCCGGUAGCUAAAUGCGGAAGAGAUAAGUGCUGAAAGCAUCUAAGCACGAAACUUGCCCCGAGAUGAGUUCUCCCUGACUCCUUGAGAGUCCUGAAGGAACGUUGAAGACGACGACGUUGAUAGGCCGGGUGUGUAAGCGCAGCGAUGCGUUGAGCUAACCGGUACUAAUGAACCGUGAGGCUUAACCUU